UUGUUUCAUCAUCUUCAAGUGUUGAUUGGUGUAUCAGUUCUUGUUGGAGGAGAUAUUGGAGGUCCUUUGGUGCUGGAGUGAUUUCUCUGCAGAUUCUUCACUAAACAUUUGGAUCGACUCCGCAUCUCUAGCGAAUCAGGUUAAGAUUAAAAGCUAAUAUGCAGACUUGAAGAUGAAAACUUGAAGAUGGAUACUUGGUUAUGUGUACAUCAAAGUAAAGGGAAUGUGAUUUGAAUUGAUUGGUGUAUGAUACUAAGGUCUAAGUACUCAUAUUUUAUAUUGGAUCAACAUUAUUAGUUAUAUAGAGCUUAUUUAAUGGUGUUUGCUUAAUAAAAGUAAUUCCUAGUUUCUUUGAUGUAAUACAUUAAAGGAAAUGCCAAAUUGUUGAUAUACAUUAUGAAACCGAUUGAUUUUAGUUUGAUAUUUAA